CUUCACUUCCUCCCUCCUUCCUCCUUCCCUCGCGCCCCGGCGGGCCAAUCAGCGUCGGCGUCGCAGAGCCUGCCGGGAGAAGGGGCUAUAAAAGUCUGCAAGCUAUUUGUGAACAGGGCUGUUGUAACUUUCCCGGCAGCGCGGAAGGAGGGAGCAGCAGCAGAAGAAUGAGAGAAGGCGAGGGAGGAGCUAGAGGGAUGGAUGUGCAGUGUUUGUGGGCGAGUGGAUGUUUACGAGUAGGGGAGAGAACAGAAUAUUUCUAGGCUUUUGAAUUAAAUCUAAUACUGCAGUAAUCAAAAUUUUAUCUCCUCAAGAAGGGUUCAAUAUACGAACAAGCCAUGGGAGUAAAGGCAAAGAUCUACCAUGAGGAAAAGUGCUCUUACCAUACAUCAAGGGAAACACCGACCGCAUAGGGAAGCUGAUGAAGAAACACAAGCUACAAACUAACUACAGACCCAUUAAGAAAAUCCAACAAAUGCUACAUUCUGGAAAGGACAUGAGGGAUCCUCUCACCUCUGCAGGAGUUUACCAUACACCAUGCAGCUGUGGACAAGUCUACAUAGGGACCACCAAAUGCAGCAUUGCCCAAAUAUGUAUCAAGGAACAUGAAAGGCACUGCAGACUAACUCAACCAGAAGUCAGCCAUAGCAGAGCACCUGAUGACCAACCUGGACACAGAAUAUUAUUUGAGAACACAGAAAUGCUGGACCAUUCCAACAACCACCAUGUCAGACUACACAGAGAAGCCACUGAAAUCCACAAGUGUAUGGACAAUUUCAACUGAAAGGAGGAAACUUUAUGGUGAACAAAAUCUGGCUACCAGUAUUAAAAAAAAUCUCAAAAAUCUGGACAAUAAAGAGCUCAUCUCAGAAAACAGGGGAAUUCCAGGCAUGAAACAAUCAGGGCCAGUUAACACCUCCCAAGAAACACCUCCAAAGAAAUGAUUCCCUGUGGCAGGAAGCAGCCAGAUUUUGAAGCUGAAAGACCAUGCAAUGCUAAUCAAAGUGAUCAGUUGCAACAUUUACACUUGCCUCAAGCAGACAAGAGUUCUUUCUCCUACCCUGGGCAUUCCACAGAUACAUAAUCCCCACUUACCUAGUUUUCAACAAACCUCACAACCUCUGAGAUGCCUGCCAUAAAUGUGAGUGAAACGUCAGGAGAGAAUGCUCUGGAACAUGGCCAUAUAGCCCGGAGAACACACUGCAACCCAGUAACAUAUUAACAAAUCUUUCAAUUUAUAUUAUUUGAAUUUAUAUUCUUAUCAAUACAAAUAUAAAUGAAUGUUUUUAAAUGAAUUAAUGGAUUUAUAUUUUUUAUAUUCUGCCUUACUCUCCUCAAUGCAAUGCAAGGUGGCUGACAUGUUUAGAACAAUGCCAAGUAAAUGCAGCUCAAAAUUCAGAAUAAAAAUAUUGAUAAAAAUAUGGAUUUAUAUUUCCAAACAUAUAUUUAUAACCAUAAAUGCAUAUUUAUAAUUAUAAAAUUCACAUUUAUAAAUAUACACUCAUAUUUAUAUACAUUCAUUUAUAUUUUUAUUCUGAUUUUUCAUGUUGCUCUUAACUUGUAUUAUUUUUAACAUGUUAGCCACCUUGAGCUUCAUUAUGAGGAGCAAGACAGGAUAUAAGCAUCAUAAAUGAGUCAGGGCCACCUCCCAAGCUUAUACCUAACUAUAACAUAAGAUGUGUUCCCUUUUUGUUUGCAUUGUACUUGUCAAGCAGGAAGAUGUUCAAGAAAAAGGCAGUUGUGAAGUACAGAACAAACAAGUGCCUGCCAAUUAUUUGCCAAAGGAAGACAGGAAACACCACUGGACCUUUGGCUUUUUGGUCAUUUUUUUGCUCUUUUACAGUGUGGGUCAGUCAGGGCAUGCGUUUGUACUUACAUAUUUACAUGACUACUAUAGGUUGAGUAUCCGUUUUUUGGGGGAAAACAUUUUGGAUUAAAGAUCUUCAGAUUUUGCAAAUACAAAAUUAGAUAUUUUGGGAGUCUAAACAUAAAAUUCAUGUAUACUAUACACCUGAAUGUAAUCUUAUAUACAACAUUUUUCAUGUUGUAUUUGAAACAAGGUUUCUAUACAUUGGACCAUCACAAAGCAAAAAUGUCACUAUCCCAGCCAUUCACAAAGGCAAUUCUGGAAUAUUUUGGAUUUCUGGGUAAGGUAUGAUCAACCUGUACCUUGUUUCCAACCAGAGAUGAAGGACCACCUCAUAGUUUCCAUGGCUAUUUUUUAAAUAUGUAUUGGGACAGGGGAAGGUUCUCUCAUUUUCUUGUCAAGAAGCUCAGUGGCAAGAAAAUGAGAGAAUCUUCCCAGUCCUAAUGAGGCUCAGUGGGUGAACUUGUGUAAGUUUCAUUUUUUUCAACCUGAUCUACCUCACUGAGUCACUGUUAGGAUAGUGUGCUAGAGGCCAUACGUGCUGCUGUUAGUUUUUUGGAAGAAGGGCAGUACAUAAUGAUUAAUGGGACCUGUUCAAAGAACACAGAAGCAUCCUGAACAUUCUGACCAAAGAGGAUUGUGGGCUACCCUGUAGAAGCAGUGGUGACUAUGUCAUGACUCUGUGUAGUGACUUUGGAAGAAGCUUGACAAAAAAUAAUCACAAUUCUCUAAUGUGGACUCCUCUCUUAGAAAUGUAUGCACUCAUUGGAAUAGUGAAAUCUUUGGUAAAGCCGCAAGAAGUUGUCUUAUAAAUGAACCAGAUCUUCAACUUAGCUCAGUGUUGACAAGUCAUGCUUGGCCACAAGCCUGGCUUACUUUGCAAGUUAAUUAUGUAUUCUGCACCAGAACCAUGCUUCAAGAUAGGAACUGAAUUCAAAAGAACAUUGAUAAUAUAGGACAUUAUAUUGAAAUUAAUAGAAUGAAAUUCAGUAGAAAUGAAUGCAAUAUUUUAUGUUUAGGACUCAAAAAUACACAGAUAUAGGAUAGAAGAAUACUUGGCAUAGUAUUCUUGGCAUGUGAAAAAGACCUUGGGAUUGUUGCUGAUCAUAAUAAAGCAAUGUGAUUUUGCAGCAAAGAAAAUAAAUACUAGUUUAUCUUGAGUUAACAGAAAUGUAAUUUAAAAGUAAAAAAAAGCAGCAAAGCGAUAGGGAUAAAAAUAUGGUGAAAAAACCAUGAGGAAAAUGUGAGGGAGUUGGAUAUAUGCAACCUGGUUCAGAGAAGUCUGAUGAGCAACGUGAUUGCACUCUUUUCUGGUCUGUUUCAGAAGGGAGGAUGCAAGUUUGUUUUCUUAUCUCAGUAGAACCAGGUCUAAUUGUUUUAACUUAUAGGAGGCUAGAUUUUAAUUGAGAAGGAACAUCUUGAUGGCAAAAGCAUUUCAGCAGUGGAACCAAUUUUCUCAGUUGGAGGUGGGGGUCUCUAUCUGGACAGAUUUAAAAAUAAAUUUGACAGAUACCUGCUGGGGAUGCUUUACUUGCAGUUUCUGCACAGAGUGUUAGAUUCAAUGAAAUAGAAGGUUCUAGCUAGCUUAUACACAUUUCUCUGUUUUAUCAAUACAAAGGGUAUGAUUCUCCCAUCUAGUUAAGUGUAACUGAUAGCAGUGCUAAAAAAGACAUUGGUAGCACAUUUAAAACUAACACUUUUUUUUUAGCAUGAGCCUUUGUGGAUUGCAGUUGGCUUUCUCACAUGUGUGAAAUGGAUUAUAAUCCAUGAAGGUUCAUGCUAAAAUAAAUUGAGCCUUAAAAGUGCUACAAACCUUUUUUUGUAAUUGAACACACUAGCACCACUAUCUCUUGGAAAAAAAUCAGAGAGAGAUUAAGCAUAUAAAUCACAUCUUGUUGAAAUAAAUGGGAAUUGAAAGUGCUCUUGAAUUUAUACAGGGAAAAGGGGAUAUAAAUUAAAACAUACCCUAUGAAACAAAACAAAAAACCCCUUAAAACAAUUCUUUAGUAUUGCCUUAGUAUAUCAUACUACUACUAGUACACUUCUGGUUUACAAAUCUAGUCGGAUUAAGUUGGAUCGAUGUUCAUGCUUUGUCACAUAACAAUGCAAAUUUUGACAUGUGAGCUCAAUAUGCAAAAAAAAUCUAUCUUCCCUAUUUUGUUAUAUUUGUGUUCAAUGUAGCAUUAUGUUCUUGAUAGCAUUGGAAAAAAUACCUAGGAAGGCCUGAGUCUCAGCUCUAUACAUAAAAUUUAUUGCUACCUAUUGUGGCUUUAUCAAUCAUUCUGGGCCCAUUCACUUGAAAUUUUUCUGUCUUCCACAGAAAGCCACAAGUCCUUUUUUGCAGGGAUGGUACUGAUGGAAAAUGGCAGCAUACAUAAUCUACACAGGAAUAGUUUUCAAAUAAAAUCUUGAGCAAGAGAGGGUAAUAUUUCCUGUUUGCAGAUCCUUGUACAAUGCCAUGUUUUUUAAGUAUUUCAGAGGUUAGCAGCUUGUGUUACUGCAUCCGAAGGUGGCUUACAAGGGUUGUAAAUGUGUUACAGAGAACUGGACCCCACAAAGUAACUGCAUCAUAUGUAGCUUUAUAUAAAUAAACAUAUCUUAGAUAGGCCACUGGAUGGUGCUAAUACUUCACCAUUUAAAGAGCUGUUCAUCAUGCAGCAUCUCUCCCCACCUCCCAAUUUUUAUUCCUUCAAGCUUGCAAGUUUCUCAAAUGUAUUAUUUAAAAGAAAGCUAACCAUUUCUUCACUGAAUGCGUUAUUAAGAAUCCCCCACUGCACCUUUUAAGAUACACACACAAAUUAAGCCAAAUAGCUACAGGUUGUGAACACAAUCUAAUUUGGAGAUAAAAUCCAGAUUAAACCAGCAAGCACUGGUGUGAUUUUGUUAUGUUGAUCAAAAACUGUUUAGAUGUUCAAGAAAACAGAGGAGAAACCAAGCCAAACUGAGGUGAGAAUCAUGGUAGAUAGUCCUAUAGCAUUGUAGCAGCAAGAAAAAAAAAUCACGACAGAAUAAGGAUUAUCAAAAUAUGAGAUAUCACUCUCAUGUCUUGAUAAAAAAAUCUAUAGCACACAGAUAUGUACAAAGCUGUAUGCAGGUCUGAUCACCCUAUCUUAAAAGGUUGUACAGUACAGAGCAGCCAAACAAAUUGAAGAGAAUGAAACACCUCUGAAGAGCCAGGAUUAGCAACUUUUGUCCAUCCUGCUCAAACUUCCAUCAUUCAUAGUGCUGGCAGGGUUGCUGAAAAAUCUGGUGACAGUGUAGGGGGCUGGUGAAAGUUGUAGUCAAAAGUAUCUAAGAAAGCAUAUGUUGCUCACUCCUACAUUUAAGGAAAGAGUAAAGAAGUCAGAUCUAUUUAGGAAAAAAUGACUUGAAGUGGGAAUUAACUCAAUUUAUAAAAUCAUGCAUGUAGAACAUUUCUUCAGAACAUUUUCCCUAUUAACAAUUUGGAACUUGUUAGUGGGCUUCAUGGAAAUAUUGAAUUAGCUGGCUCCUGCUAACUAUGAAUGAGACUCCUGGGUCAGCAGUCCAGCUUAGAUCUUGCAGACUCAGAGCUGGGAUGUUCUUGAUUGAGUCGAUCUACAUUUAAUUUGGAUUUUGUCUUUUCCUACUGCUUUCCACCAUAACAAGCAUGAUUGUCUUUUCUAAUGAUUAGUGUCUUCUCGAUACAGCCAAGGUACAACAGUACGAGUUUGAUCUUUUUAGUGGCGCACCCAUUUAGAGAACAAUCUAUAGUUUUUCCUAUUAUACACAAUCUAAGGUUUUGCUAUAAGCUAUUAAGCACAAGCUGAUUUUAUGAAAUUCUUUGGUGCACAAUCUGACCUUGCAGAAUCAUAAAGAUGGAAAAUAAUAAGACAGUGAGACUAAUAGCGUUACAAGGGCACUGAACUUUGAAUAUAGGCAUGUCUGCGUAAGAAUCUUCUCCCUCCUUGUCCUCUGUCUAAUCAUUUUUACCCAUAGCAACAUCAUAGGAGGGAGAAGAUGGAGAAACACAAAAGUUGAGUGUUGGAUUGCAAUGCAAUAAGGUCUGAAUAGGGCAAAAAUAGGAUUGCACUCUGAAUCUGCUGUACCUGCCCACAACCAGCAAAGUAAAUGGCAGCUGCCCCUGGAAUCCAUUAGUAAGCAUAAAUGAGCAGUAAAACGGAGAGAAAAGUGGAGAUUAGAUGAGCCUCACAAGCUAUCCCUCAGUAUGGUUACUAUUUUACAAAAGCAUAAAUCUCCAAGUUUGGCACCAAAAUGGAAAUUAUAAGAAAAGUGAAGACUAGUGCAAGGAAACAAUAAUCCAAGGAUGCACUUGAAAAGCAGCCUUCAAGUGUUUUCACGCAGGCAAGGCUUAUAUCUUUCAUUCUGAAUACCGUAUAUACUUGAGUAUAAGCCGACCCAAAUAUAAGCUGAGGCACCUAAUUUUACCACAAAAACUGGAAAAACUUAUUGACUUGAGUAUAAGACGAGGGUGGGAAAUGCAGCAGCUACUGGUAAAUUUCAAAAAUAAAAAUGAUAUGGAGGGGGGAGAAGUGGCUGGUGGUUUUGCUGUGAAAAUGUUUUGAAUUUGAGUGAUGGUAGAGUAUGUUAUACUUACUUAUUUAGUACAAGUUGUCAUUUGAAUACAGAUCCAGACACAUUCCAUUAUUUUUGAAUGUAUAUUUUCUUAUUGUAUAUUAGAUUGUUUUUGUCAAAUAAUUAAUAAAAUAAUUUCAAAGAAAAUACAAAUAUUUAUUAAUAAAAUUACUUUAAUUGAGGCAUCA